GAUGAACGCUGGCGGCGUGCCUAAUACAUGCAAGUAGAACGCUGAAGGAGGAGCUUGCUCUUCUGGAUGAGUUGCGAACGGGUGAGUAACGCGUAGGUAACCUGCCUGGUAGCGGGGGAUAACUAUUGGAAACGAUAGCUAAUACCGCAUGACAACAGUUAUUGCAUGAUAACUGUUUAAAAGGGGCAACUGCUCCACUACCAGAUGGACCUGCGUUGUAUUAGCUAGUUGGUGAGGUAACGGCUCACCAAGGCGACGAUACAUAGCCGACCUGAGAGGGUGAUCGGCCACACUGGGACUGAGACACGGCCCAGACUCCUACGGGAGGCAGCAGUAGGGAAUCUUCGGCAAUGGACGGAAGUCUGACCGAGCAACGCCGCGGGAGUGAAGAAGGGUUUCGGAUCGUAAAGCUCUGUUGUAAGAGAAGAACGAGUGUGAGAGUGGAAAGUUCACACUGUGACGGUAGCUUACCAGAAAGAGACGGCUAACUACGUG
rnacentral:rRNA from 1 species